GACGAACGCUGGCGGCGUGCUUAACACAUGCAAGUCGAACGGAAAGGCCCUGCUUUUGUGGGGUGCUCGAGUGGCGAACGGGUGAGUAACACGUGAGUAACCUGCCCUUGACUUUGGGAUAACUUCAGGAAACUGGGGCUAAUACCGGAUAGGAGCUCCUGCUGCAUGGUGGGGGUUGGAAAGUUUCGGCGGUUGGGGAUGGACUCGCGGCUUAUCAGCUUGUUGGUGGGGUAGUGGCUUACCAAGGCUUUGACGGGUAGCCGGCCUGAGAGGGUGACCGGCCACAUUGGGACUGAGAUACGGCCCAGACUCCUACGGGAGGCAGCAGUGGGGAAUAUUGCACAAUGGGCGGAAGCCUGAUGCAGCAACGCCGCGUGCGGGAUGACGGCCUUCGGGUUGUAAACCGCUUUCGCCUGUGACGAAGCGUGAGUGACGGUAAUGGGUAAAGAAGCACCGGCUAACUACGUGCCAGCAGCCGCGGUGAUACGUAGGGUGCGAGCGUUGUCCGGAUUUAUUGGGCGUAAAGGGCUCGUAGGUGGUUGAUCGCGUCGGAAGUGUAAUCUUGGGGCUUAACCCUGAGCGUGCUUUCGAUACGGGUUGACUUGAGGAAGGUAGGGGAGAAUGGAAUUCCUGGUGGAGCGGUGGAAUGCGCAGAUAUCAGGAGGAACACCAGUGGCGAAGGCGGUUCUCUGGGCCUUUCCUGACGCUGAGGAGCGAAAGCGUGGGGAGCGAACAGGCUUAGAUACCCUGGUAGUCCACGCUGUAAACGGUGGGUACUAGGUGUGGGGUCCAUUCCACGGGUUCCGUGCCGUAGCUAACGCUUUAAGUACCCCGCCUGGGGAGUACGGCCGCAAGGCUAAAACUCAAAGGAAUUGACGGGGCCCCGCACAAGCGGCGGAGCAUGCGGAUUAAUUCGAUGCAACGCGUAGAACCUUACCUGGGUUUGACAUGGAUCGGGAGUGCUCAGAGAUGGGUGUGCCUCUUUUGGGGUCGGUUCACAGGUGGUGCAUGGCUGUCGUCAGCUCGUGUCGUGAGAUGUUGGGUUAAGUCCCGCAACGAGCGCAACCCUUGUUCACUGUUGCCAGCACGUUAUGGUGGGGACUCAGUGGAGACCGCCGGGGUCAACUCGGAGGAAGGUGGGGAUGACGUCAAGUCAUCAUGCCCCUUAUGUCCAGGGCUUCACGCAUGCUACAAUGGCUGGUACAGAGAGUGGCGAGCCUGUGAGGGUGAGCGAAUCUCGGAAGGUCGGUCUCAGUUCGGAUUGGGGUCUGCAACUCGACCUCAUGAAGUCGGAGUCGCUAGUAAUCGCAGGUCAGCAACGCUGCGGUGAAUACGUUCCCGGG
rnacentral:rRNA from 1 species